rnacentral:rRNA from 1 species
GAUCCUGGCUCAGGAUGAACGCUGGCGGCGUGCCUAACACAUGCAAGUCGAGCGGGAUUAUUCCUUCGGGAAUAAUUUAGCGGCGGACGGGUGAGUAACGCGUGGGUAAUCUGCCUUAUACUGGGGGAUAACGUUGAGAAAUCAACGCUAAUACCGCAUAAGCUUACACUGCCGCAUAGCAAAGUGAGAAAAAAUUUAUUGGUAUAAGAUGAGCCUGCGUCUGAUUAGCUAGUUGGUGGGGUAAUGGCCUACCAAGGCGACGAUCAGUAGCCGACCUGAGAGGGUGAUCGGCCACAUUGGGACUGAGACACGGCCCAAACUCCUACGGGAGGCAGCAGUGGGGAAUAUUGCACAAUGGACGGAAGUCUGAUGCAGCAACGCCGCGUGAAGGAAGAAGGCCUUCGGGUUGUAAACUUCUAUCGACAGGGACGAAAGAAAUGACGGUACCUGAGUAAGAAGCACCGGCUAACUACGUGCCAGCAGCCGCGGUAAUACGUAGGGUGCAAGCGUUAUCCGGAAUUACUGGGUGUAAAGGGUGAGUAGGCGGCCAAAUA